GUGCACCAGGCGCGAAUCUUCCACAAUGGACGAAAGUCUGAUGGAGCGACGCCGCGCGGUUGAUGAAGUCCUUCGGGACGUAAAGACCUUUUAUGAGGGAGGAAGUAAUUGACGUUACCUCAUGAAUAAGGGGCUCCUAACUCUGUGCCAGCAGGAGCGGUAAUACAGAGGCCCCAAGCAUUAUCCGGAAUCACUGGGCGUAAAGGGUGUGUAGGCGGUUGUAUUAGU
rnacentral:rRNA from 1 species